UACGAAGGGGGCUAGCGUUGCUCGGAAUCACUGGGCGUAAAGCGUGUGUAGGCGGAUCGUUAAGUGCCUUGUGAAAUCCCACAGCUUAACUGUGGAACUGCUUGGCAUACUGGCGGUCUUGAGCCAUCUAGGGGUUGCUGGAACAAACGGUGGAGCGGUGAAAUGCGUAGAUAUCGUUUGGAACGCCAAUGGUGAAAACAGGCAACUGGGGAUGUGCUGACGCUGAGACACGAAAGCCAGGGGAGCAAACGGG
rnacentral:rRNA from 1 species